ACAAAAUUCCAUUGCAGAUUGAAAUGCUAUCUAAACAUGCUUGAAAAUGUGGUCUUGCUCUCUGAAAUAUGACCUGCUCUGCUCUGCAGCAACCUGUAACCUAUUAAUAUGUGAGGUGGGGAAGGCCGACAUUCCUGCAGGCUGUCUAAUUCUGGGCCUGACUCUCCAAAACUGCUGGUUUGUGACCACAGGUUAAAAUAUAACUAAAAGAUAUACAUCUACAUAGCGUGACCCAACAAAAAGUCUUGACGAAUCAUUCACUUUAUUUUUAUAUUCUUGGAGUUUUAAAUACCUAAGGCUCUCUUAUGUAUAUUAAGGUUUCUAGCGAGCUAUUCUAAAUACAGGCUGAAUCACACCAAACGGUAGCAUUAUUUCAAAUAGCAGUAAGCUGGAACUACUCAUACACAAAUCAAGCUUUAAACAACUUUAAAGGAAUAUACACACCAAUCAAAAUGAUGUUUCAUGUAAAGAGCUUUUGUUAAUUUACAAUUAACAGUCUCACACACGCAGACCAAAUAUUCCAUACGGUUGCAUAAACUAUUGUAUUACAUAUGGACCAUGUGUUCUGAGAAACACAAAGAUGAGGAAGAUAUAGUUCUUGCCUCAAGGAGCUCAUAAAUUAGUCAAGGGGACAAGACAUGUUCACUAGCAAGUCAAAGGAGAUCAGGAAAGCCAAAUGAAAAGUACAAGCAUGGGACUAUGUGAGUCUGCAGACAGAAAGGAUAGACAUCAAAUUAAUUGAGGAAUACUGGGACCAAUUUUCUCAUCUGUGAAACCUGAGGAGUAGACCAGAUGAAUUCUAAGUCCUGACUAGUUCUAAAAUUCUGAUUCCUUUGGUUUAGCCAGUUGAGCUAAACAGAAAAUUUUAUGAAAGUAGUAAUAUUUGACCCGGGCCUGAGAUGGGUAAGAUUUUGAAAUGAAGCUACUGGAAGAAAAAGAGAGCAUUUUAAGCAGAAAGAAGAACAUAAUCAUAGAUCCAGAAAGUACAGGGCAUGCUUGUGGAACACUAAGUCUUAGUAUGGAUGAAGCACAGCAGGACACAAAAUUGGAAAGGCAGACCGAGGCCUUGAAUGCCAAGCAAAGGAACUUGGGCUUAAUUUGGUAGACAGGGGCCACUGAGGUUUCUAAAGAGGUAGAUGACAAGACCAGACAUAUAGUAGGAAAGUUAAAGAGCAGAAUGAGGCUGGAGCUUUUGCAGGCUCCCUGUUACUCUUAAUUUCCUCUGAGGGGCCCAUUUACAAGGGCCUCACCUGCUAGAAAAGCGAAGCUUCAUGGGAGAAACCUAAAUAGACAAAACAAAGCAACGAGGGUUAAAAACCAUUCAAGGACCAUGAAAUAAGAUAAGUUUUAGGAACCUAACAUGAUUAUAUACAAGUACUGACAGUGACAACAUGGAAGAAGGUAGACUACUUAAUAAUAAACCAAUGAAUGAUUAUUAAAAGAAAAAGUCAUAAAAUGUAGGAAAAUAGAGAAAUGGUAAAACUAAAAAUAUAAAAGAACGAGACUCAUAAUACCUGUGAGCUACUAGCAGAGGAAACAGGAAUAUGAAAUGAGAAAUUUCUACGCAGGAUUACACCCCCUCACUACCCACCCCACACCAAAUCUGGGAAGCAUAAUUAACAUUUUAAGAAAUUAGCUAUAUUAAAAAAUGUCAAAUAGGACAGAUAACAGAAAUGAAGUUAUUACAAAAGUACACAACUGACCUAACUGAAUUAAUACUGAAAAGGGAGGACCAGACAUCGUAUGAGGAAGACAAGAAAAGGCAUGCUCAGCAUUUGUUAGAUAGCAAUUCCUGAAAUGUGAUGCUAAACAGAAUACAAUCCAAACGAAAAUGAAAAUGGUUAAUAGAUAACAUCUGGCCCUGAAUCAUUAAAGAAAACCUCUGCCCCACACACUUCUUUUUCCCUUCAUUCCCUUCCUUAGCUAGAUCCAAAGGAUGUAAAACUUUGAAAUGAAUCUACAAUGACCUGUUUGCCAACAAAACUAGACAUUUUACCUCAGAAAGACUUGAGGAUGAUGCAAGAAUUAUGCUUAUAAAUUGCUACUGGCAACCUGUGCUGGCUGGAGGAGACAAGGAGUAGGUCUGGUAAGAAAACCAGGUCACGAGUGUUUCAGAUGUCAGAUGGGGACAUUCAUACCUCACCUACUGUUCUGACGAAGCCAAUGGUUACUCAAAAUUUUCAAAUAUCCAAGAACAGACAGAGGUAAAGAUAAAUCUCAGAAAAUAGAAGUUAUUUUAAUUGAGGAACCUACUGUCAAGUCUGUUGCUUCAAAACUGGACUGGGUAUAAAUCGUCACUUUGGUGACAGGAGCUGAGCUGUUGGAGGACUUGGGGUUGGCGCAACUCUGCCACUAACAAACUUGCUGAACAUCUAGAGGGUAAGCUGUCUAACCUCUCUGAGUUUCUAUUUCUUCAUAUGCAAAAUGGGCAUAAUAGUUCUGGCGUUGCUCAUCUCUGCUGGAACCCAUUCCUUUAAAAAAAACUUUUUUGGGUACUUUAAAAAAACUAUUUAAAAAAUGUUAACAUUUGAGAAAUUUGGGGUGAAUGGUAGCCAUAAAUUCUUUGUCCUAUUCAUACAUCUUUUCUGAAAAUGGGAAAUUAUAUCAAAAAUUAAAAAAAUGUAAUCUAUUUUAAAUUGGUAAAACAUGUAUGUGACCAAAAAUUCAAAUAGAAGUGAAUAGUGAAAAGUAA